AGUGGUUACGCUCCGCUGGGGAGCCGGAACUGUAAAUUCCUACUGUGGUUCGAGUCCACAAACCACUG
rnacentral:tRNA from 6 species